CUAAGACUGGAUAGGAAAUAAAAAGGCAUCUUUUUAUUUUUAAAAGACCUUUUUCGGAAGGUAUGCUUAAAGAGGGGCUUGCGUCACAUUAGUUAGUUGGCAGGGUAAAGGCCUACCAAGACUAUGAUGUGUAGCUGGACUGAGAGGUUGAACAGCCACAUUGGGACUGAGACACGGCCCAAACUCCUACGGGAGGCAGCAGUAGGGAAUUUUCGGCAAUGGAGGAAACUCUGACCGAGCAACGCCGCGUGAACGAUGAAGUAUUUCGGUAUGUAAAGUUCUUUUAUUGAAGAAGAAAAAAUAGUGGAAAAACUAUCUUGACGAUAUUCAAUGAAUAAGCCCCGGCAAACUAUGUGCCAGCAGCCGCGGUAAUACAUAGGGGGCGAGCGUUAUCCGGAAUUAUUGGGCGUAAAGGGUGCGUAGGCGGUUUAAUAAGUCUAUAGUUUAAUUUCAGUGCUUAACACUGUCCUGCUAUAGAAACUAUUAGACUAGAGUGAGAUAGAGGCAAGUGGAAUUCCAUGUGUAGCGGUAAAAUGCGUAAAUAUAUGGAGGAACACCAGAGGCGUAGGCGGCUUGCUGGGUCUUUACUGACGCUGAGGCACGAAAGCGUGGGGAGCAAACAGGAUUAGAUACCCUGGUAGUCCACGCCGUAAACGAUGAGUACUAAGUGUCGGGAUUACUCGGUACUGAAGUUAACACAUUAAGUACUCCGCCUGAGUAGUACGUACGCAAGUAUGAAACUUAAAGGAAUUGACGGGACUCCGCACAAGCGGUGGAUCAUGUUGUUUAAUUCGAAGAUACACGAAAAACCUUACCAGGUCUUGACAUACUCUGCAAAGCUAUAGCAAUAUAGUGGAGGUUAUCAGGGAUACAGGUGGUGCAUGGUUGUCGUCAGCUCGUGUCGUGAGAUGUUAGGUUAAGUCCUAAAACGAGCGCAACCCUUGUCAUUAGUUGCCAGCAUGUCAUGAUGGGCACUUUAAUGAGACUGCCAAUGAAAAAUUGGAGGAAGGUGAGGAUCACGUCAAAUCAUCAUGCCCCUUAUGAUCUGGGCUACAAACGUGAUACAAUGGCUGUUACAAAGAGUAGCUGAAACGCAAGUUUAUAGCCAAUCUCAUAAAAGCAGUCUCAGUUCGGAUUGAAGUCUGCAACUCGACUUCAUGAAGUUGGAAUCGCUAGUAAUCGCGAAUCAGCAUGUCGCGGUGAAUACGUUCUCGGGGUUUGUACACACCCGCCCGUCA
rnacentral:rRNA from 1 species